UUCAGAGGUGAGCCCAGAGGGGGUAAAGUGGACUGGGGAGAACUUCGGAGGAUGUUCAUGUCCAGGAGCAGCCCCACGCCCUGUAUGGUCGGUGUCCAGAGCCUCACAGCAACUAAGACCAACCCAGCUCUCAGAAGAAGCAAUGUCAAAAUGUCAUGUUCAAUUUUACAUUCAGUGCCUGGAAUCUUUUCUUCACAAUUGAAAUGAAAUGUGCUGAAGGAGGUGAGUCCAUGCAUUAAUCUUCAGCUCACAAAGGAAAUACUACAUAAGAAGCAAACCACAGACUCAAGAAGGACAUAACUGGAUUUUUUUUGCCAUAGCCUGGAAAGAAAGGUACACACAGUUAACCACAAAACAGGCCUCUCUGAAAAAGCCAUUGCUGUGGACUGCCAGACAGACAAUGACAAGACACAAAUACCUUCUGGUGUGUGAGCCAUGGGACAUGUGAGCUUCCCCGCUGAUGCUCCUCUUAUAUCAAAGAUCACUUUCACAAGAUGAGCCACUCAAUAUCUUUUAUCAAACCAAUGAUCACCUGCAAGCUAUGGUAUAUUUUUGCAGCUGUGUAGAGCUAUGUGGCAUGAGAAUGUGGGACUUAUAAAUUGCUGAUCCAAUAAAUAGACAUUAUGGGCAACAGUGUCUUAUCAGCUAGUGUGUACUAAGGUUUCAGGAACAGUUGUUCUGACCUUACUAUCCAACGAGGAGUAACUGAUUCACUUCUCAGAGGUAUAUUAACCUAAUUUGGACAUCACACAAUGCCUGAAAAAUAAUUCUUCAGUGCAUUAAACAGUCCCC
rnacentral:lncRNA from 1 species